ACGAACGCUGGCGGCGCGCCUAACACAUGCACGUCGAACGGAGUCAAGAGGAGCUUGCUUUUCUUGACUUAGUGGCGAACGGGUGAGUAACGCGUGAGUAACCUGCCCUGGAGUGGGGGACAACAGUUGGAAACGACUGCUAAUACCGCAUAAGCCCACGGAUCUGCAUGGAUCUGCGGGAAAAGGAUUUAUUCGCUCUAGGAUGGACUCGCGUCCAAUUAGCUAGUUGGUGAGGUAACGGCCCACCAAGGCGACGAUUGGUAGCCGGACUGAGAGGUUGAACGGCCACAUUGGGACUGAGACACGGCCCAGACUCCUACGGGAGGCAGCAGUGGGGGAUAUUGCACAAUGGGGGAAACCCUGAUGCAGCGACGCCGCGUGGAGGAAGAAGGUUUUCGGAUUGUAAACUCCUGUCGUUAGGGACGAUAAUGACGGUACCUAACAAGAAAGCACCAGCUAACUACGUG
rnacentral:rRNA from 1 species